rnacentral:tRNA from 1 species
GCCUGACUGGCUCAUUCGGAAGAGCAUGUAACUCUUGAUCUCAGGGCUGUGGGUUCGAGCCCCACAUUGGGUG